rnacentral:rRNA from 1 species
GUCGAACGCUGGCGGCGUGCUUAACACAUGCAAGUCGAACGAAGUGGCGAACGGGUGAGUAAUACGUGGGUACCCUGCCCUCCUUGAUGGGAUAAGCCUUGGAAACGGGGUCUAAUACCGAAUAACGGGGGAUGGGCUCGCGGCAUAUCGGCUUGUUGGUGGGGGAAUGGACUAACAAGGCGGUGACGGGUGGCCGGCCGGAGAGGGGGACCGGCAACAGUGGGACUGAGAUACGUCCCAGACGCCGCCGGGAGGCAGAAGUUGGGGCUAUUGCACAAGUGGCGAAACCCUGAUGCAGCGACUGCGCGGGGGGGAUGAAGGUUUUCGGGUUGUAAACCUCUUUAGCUAUCGAACGGGUAGGUGGAGAAGAAGCGCCGGCUAACUACGUGCCAGCAGCCGCGGUAAUAC